rnacentral:rRNA from 1 species
GACGAACGCUGGCGGCGUGCUUAACACAUGCAAGUCGAACGGAAAGGCCCUGCUUUUGUGGGGUGCUCGAGUGGCGAACGGGUGAGUCACACGUGAGUAACCUGCCCUUGACUUUGGGAUAACUUCAGGAAACUGGGGCUAAUACCGGAUAGGAGCUCCUGCUGCAUGGUGGGGGUUGGAAAGUUUCGGCGGUUGGGGAUGGACUCGCGGCUUAUCAGCUUGUUGGUGGGGUAGUGGCUUACCAAGGCUUUGACGGGUAGCCGGCCUGAGAGGGUGACCGGCCACAAUGGGACUGAGAGACGGCCCAGACUCCUACGUGAGGCAGCAGUGGGGAAUAUUGCACAAUGGGCGGAAGCCUGAGGCAGCAACGCCGCGUGCGGGAUGACGGCCUUCGGGUUGUAAACCGCUUUCGCCUGUGACGAAGCGUGAGUGACGGUAAUGGGUAAAGAAGCACCGGCUAACUACGUG